rnacentral:rRNA from 1 species
AUUGAACGCUGGCGGCAGGCCUAACACAUGCAAGUCGAGCGAGUGGCGGACGGGUGAGUAAUGUAUGGGGAACUGCCCGAUAGAGGGGGAUAACUACUGGAAACGGUGGCUAAUACCGCAUACUAUCGGAUGAACCCAUAUGGGAUUAGAUAGUAGGUGGGGUAACAGCUCACCUAGGCGACGAUCUCUAGCUGGGCUGAGAGGAUGAGCAGCCACACUGGAACGGAGACACGGCCCAGACUCCUACGGGAGGCAGCAGUGGGGAUUAUGGCACACUGGGCGCAAGCCUGAGGCAGCCAUGCCGCGUGUAUGAGGAAGGCCUUAGGGUUGUAAAGUACUUUAAGCGGGGAGGCGUUACCCGCAGAAGAAGCACCGGCUAACUCCGUGCCAGCAGCCGCGGUAAUUC